rnacentral:ribozyme from 1 species
UUUCUUCUUCUUCUCUUUUCUUUUCUCUUUUUCUUUUUCUUUUUUCCUUUUUUUGACAACAGUGAGAA